GACAGAGGUGCCGAGCGUUAGGCGGAAUCACUGGGCUUAAAGCGUGUGUAGGCGGGCCGUUAAGUGUCUUGUGAAAUCCCCCGGCUCAACCGGGGAAUUGCUGGGCAUACUGGCGGUCUUGAGCAAUCUAGGGGCAGAUGGAACAAGUGGUGGAGCGGUGAAAUGCGUAGAUAUGCGGAGGAACACCGAUGGCGAAGGCAAUCCCCUGGACCUGUACUGACGCUCAUGCACGAA
rnacentral:rRNA from 1 species